CAAUAUGUAUCAUAACAUUCAUUAAACAAAUCCACUUGGAUAUCUUAGAUAUGCCAUGAAUUUAAAUGUCUGAAGCUAAGUGCAACGUUUUUUCCAAUUAAAUCUGUUAUUUGUGUCAGAAAAGUUGUGCUACCUCGUUGCCCGAGUUGGAUACUUGAUAAUCAUUCUAAAGCUUGUUCUCUUCCUCUUUGCCAAAUUCACUUACUAAAUUCUGUGGAUUUUAUCCCUUGAGUAGCUCUUGCAUUUUCUUCUUAUUUCCAAUUCUUCUCCGUUAAAGUUAUCUACAACUCUUGCUCAAAUUAUUGCAACAUCCUACAUUCUUGUUCUCCCACUCACCUUAUUCCCAAACCCCACCUCUAGUUAUAUUCAGUUACUCAAAUAUAGUGAAUUGUUUUUGGCCCCUGAAAGUACUACAGAUUUGGCAGUGAGUUAGAUUGGGAAGUGAGUUACAGUGGUGGAUUCAGUAUUUAAUGCAUGAAACUUCUUUUAAUGAAUGUCGUUUAAAAAAAAAAAAAAAAAGCUACAGACUUUAUGAGAGAAUAAUUGAAGUGGAAACUUUUAUUCAUGGAUUUUCUCCUAAGUAAUGUGGCCACCAAUUCUUUGCUUUCUUUUAAAAAAUGUAAUUUCCAUUAGAUCAGUACACUUACGAGAAAAUGAUUUUUCCUAUGCAGAUAACUUUCUUUCUUGGAUUGUAUCAAUUGCACUAAUACAGCCAUUAGUUUGUCCUUUUAUUUACUGCUAUUGUUACCAUACCACGAUGAUGAAACUUUUUUUAUAGUGACGCUAAUCACAGAUUCUUUAAAACUUUUUAUGAAGUCUGUUUAUUAAUGAGUUAUUAUUUCUUUUUUUUCCUUCAGGUAGGAACUUAUGUUUCUUUUUGUAUAUGUUUUGUUGAAGGUACGCCUUGUAGAUGCAGGCUUUGUUUGGACUGAGCCCCAUUCUAAAAGACUUAAAGUUAAAUUGACUAUUCAAAAAGAGGUAAGUUAUACAUUAUUUUUUAAACAUGGUUAAAGUGCAGGAAAUGACAAUGAG
rnacentral:lncRNA from 1 species